rnacentral:lncRNA from 1 species
UGUUGACACAGGAGAUAAGAUGGGCAGAUGGGAAGAGAGGAGGGAGGGCUGCCACUGCCCAGCAGGCAGCCGGGCAGCCUGUGGAUCCCAAGAUUGGGGUAGUUCCUUGGGUUGGUCUCAGUGUUGUGGGAGGAAGACAUAAAGGAGCCCAGAGCCACUUCCUAAGGGCUCUGAAACCUGUCCACAUGAAAUAGACACCAACACUCAGCUGUGAUCUCUUUGAAUGUGACAAGGGUAAGUUCCAAUUUUCCCUUUUUCAGGUUUAGAACACUUAAAUGCAUUUUCCUGAAGCCCUUUAACCUCCAUCCCGUAGGAUGCCCUCUCACCUUCUCACAGAGGCCCCGUGGCUGUCACCUUUCCAUGUGGCAGGCAGCUGAACUGUGUGCGGGGAUCCUCCUUGGAGAGGCAAAGCCUUUGAUGUGCAGCAGGCAGCGGACCGAUCUGAAGUAGUCAUCUGACUUCGACAACUGCUUUGCUUUCCUCAUGGCAGGUCUUCUGGGGAGACAGAGGCACCUAGGACCAGACAUGUGGAGGGCGGACGACCGCAGGCAGGAGCCUCUGGCCAGAGCAGCCUCUAGAGAUGCUCCUCAUCAUCCCUUCUGGGAUUACUUUUUUAAAAAGAACUUGAAAAAUAAUUCUGAAAUGAACUGUACACACGAAAGAGUAUUUGUAACUUACAUAUACAUAGAAAUAGCAAUAAUAAAUGAAGACACAUCCAGGUUAGCAGUUAGAACGUUACCCUAACUUCUAAAUGGUCCCAUAAUCUUCUUCUUUUUUUUUUUCUUCACUUUCACUGCAGUAACCACUGGCCCAGAUUAUAUGUUAAUCAUUACCCUGCCUUGUUUAAAGUUUUACUGUAAAUGUGUGAGUCGCCAAGCAAUAGAUGGCUAGAUUUUAUCUGUUUUUGAAUAUUUGUAAAUAAAGUU